AGGAGCUGCUUACCUUUGUGCUAAAAUUGGAACGAUACAGAGAAGAUUAGCAUGGCUCCUGCGCAAGGAUGACACGCAAAUUCGUGAAGCGUUCCAUAUUUUU